GGGGAUUUAGCUCAGCGGUAGAGCGCUUGCCUGGCAAGCACAAGGCCCUGGGUUCGGUCCCCAGCCCCG
rnacentral:tRNA from 1 species